rnacentral:lncRNA from 1 species
UUUAAAUUGCCCUGAUUUCACAUACUUAAUCUCGAUUUUAGUGUAGAAAUACAAAAUUGAGUUAGUACUCACAUGUUAGAAAUUUUGUUGACCAAAUUAGCAAAUACCAGUAAGACAAAAAAAAUUCUUUUGAUCUCCGGUAAGACUCACCACCGCUGCUCUAGUCGGACGCACCACUGAUUCAGUCAGAUGUUGAUUCAGUCAGAGGCAUAAAAUAUUUUUUUGUCCGACCAAUUUAAAAUAAAAUAAUGAUGUGAGAGUGCUGGCAAGUGAGGAAGAAAGCGACUACCAGACAUCAUCUAUGUAAGUAGC